rnacentral:rRNA from 1 species
CCUACGGGGCGCAGCAGUGGGGGAUAUUGCACAAUGGGGGAAACCCUGAUGCAGCGACGCCGCGUGAGUGAAGAAGUAUUUCGGUAUGUAAAGCUCUAUCGGCAGGGAAGAAAAAGCGCGCGAGCGCCCUUGACAGUACCUGACUAAGAAGCCCCGGCUAACUACGUGCCAGCAGCCGCGGUAAUACGUAGGGGGCAAGCGUUAUCCGGAUUUACUGGGGGUAAAGGGAGCGUAGACGGUUAUGUAAGUCUGGAGUGAAAGCCCGGGGCCCAACCCCGGGACUGCUUUGGAAACUGUGUAACUGG